UACGUAGGGCGCAAGCGUUAUCCGGAAUUAUUGGGCGUAAAGAGCUCGUAGGCGGCCUGUUACGUCUGCUGUGAAAUCCCGGGGCUUAACCCCGGGCGUGCAGUGGAUACGGGCAGGCUGGAGGCAGGCAGGGGAGAACGGAAUUCCCGGUGUAGCGGUGAAAUGCGCAGAUAUCGGGAGGAACACCGGUGGCGAAGGCGGUUCUCUGGGCCUGUACUGACGCUGAGGAGCGAAAGCGUGGGGAGCGAACAGG
rnacentral:rRNA from 1 species